GGGUGGGUAGCUCAGUGGUUAGAGCCUGGGCUUGGGACCGAAAGGUCCCGGGUUUGAAUCUCGCAAGACGCA
rnacentral:tRNA from 1 species